rnacentral:rRNA from 1 species
GACGUAGGGCGCGAGCGUUGUCCGGAUUUAUUGGGCGUAAAGAGCUCGUAGGCGGCUUGUCGCGUCGAAUGUGAAAUCUCAGGGCUCAACUCUGACAUUGCAUUCGAUACGGGCAGGCUAGAGUUCGGUAGGGGAGACUGGAAUUCCUGGUGUAGCGGUGAAAUGCGCAGAUAUCAGGAGGAACACCGAUGGCGAAGGCAGGUCUCUGGGCAUUAACUGACGCUGAGGAGCGAAAGCGUGGGGAGCGAACAGG